rnacentral:lncRNA from 10 species
GAGACACUGUACAUGAAGUUUCCAGAACCAGCCAUGUCCAUCUUACUAAUCAAGACUCUCUCUGUUAAAUCUGCAACUCAAAUGACUUUAAGGAAAAAUGGAUUUCAUUGAUUCACAUAACCAUCACUCAAGGACUAACUUUCAACAUAGUGAGAUCCUGAGGCUCAAAUAUUAUUACCCGAAACAACCUUCAGUACAUAAGUAAUGGCUGCUGGAUGUAACUUGCAAUUGGGUGGCAGGUCGGCAAGGAAAGAAUUCCAAACAGAGGACUUUCUGAAAGCCUAAUUAUACAUAUUGAAUGUAACAAAAGGAAAAUAGUUUUUAAGGGUUCCAUGAACUGCUUCCUCUGACAUGAGAUCUAACAAGGCUAAAGACUAAAAUGCAGCUGUUUACAGCGUAAGUAGGAGGCCGUCCCGUGCAGUGCAAAAUCAACAGAGAGGAGACAGUCCUAUGCCUUCGAGAGACAGUCUGCUGAUACUGUCAUGAUGUCUAGUGACAGGCCAGAGAUCAAAACCCAACACCCUCAUUUACCUGACAGUGAUUUGGCCAAUCCC